rnacentral:rRNA from 1 species
UACGAAGGGUGCAAGCGUUACUCGGAAUUACUGGGCGUAAAGCGUGCGUAGGUGGUUUGUUAAGUCUGAUGUGAAAGCCCCGGGCUCAACCUGGGAAUUGCAUUGGAUACUGGCGGGCUAGAGUGCGGUAGAGGGUAGUGGAAUUCCCGGUGUAGCAGUGAAAUGCGUAGAGAUCGGGAGGAACAUCUGUGGCGAAGGCGACUGCCUGGACCAGCACUGACACUGAGGCACGAAAGCGUGGGGAGCAAACAGG